rnacentral:rRNA from 1 species
UAAGACGUAGGGCGCGAGCGUUGUCCGGAUUUAUUGGGCGUAAAGAGCUCGUAGGCGGCUCAUUGCGUCGUGCGUGAAAUUCCACCGCUCAACGGUGGGGCUGCGCACGAUACGGGUGGGCUGGAGUUCGGUAGGGGAGACUGGAAUUCCUGGUGUAGCGGUGAAAUGCGCAGAUAUCAGGAGGAACACCGGUGGCGAAGGCGGGUCUCUGGGCCGAUACUGACGCUGAGGAGCGAAAGCGUGGGGAGCGAACAGGAUUAGAUACCCUGGUAGUCCACGCUGUAAACGUUGGGCGCUAGGUGUGGGGGGCCUCUCCGGUUUCCUGCGCCGUAGCUAACGCAUUAAGCGCCCCGCCUGGGGAGUACGGCCGCAAGGCUA